CCUAACAGCCUAGUUGUCCAAUAGUGCAAUGGCGGCAACAGGCCGAUAAGCCCGUCACAAGCCCACCAUCCGUCUCGGCUUCCCGUCGUCUUCCUCGGCUCCAUCCGGGUAGCUGCGUGCGCCAACAAUCGAAUCCCCCCUUGCGGCCUCGCCUCCGCCGAACCUACCCGCUUCCCCUUUUACCACCCCAAUUCUCGCAGCCAAUCUUUCUCUCCACUCUUUUCUGCAGGCGCACCUUCCCCUGUCCGAUUCGCUCGAUCUGAAAACUGAAGUUUGAAGUGUGGAUGGUGAAUAGGCUAUGUUAUUGCCUUCGUUGUUGCUGAUUACCAUAACCAUGUGGGCAUGAGCCGACAUGGAUGCUCUUGUUUACUCGGGGAGAAACACUAAUCCUCGAUGUGAUCUCCACAUCUAUAUGGGGAUUUUGCAUCGCAUGGUGGUGGACCUCGAUCAUGCACUUGAAGGCAGAUAGUAUUGAACUUGUCA